UACGUAGGGGGCGAGCGUUGUCCGGAUUUAUUGGGCGUAAAGAGCGUGUAGGCGGCCAGGUAGGUCUGCUGUGAAAACUCGAGGCUCAACCUCGAGACGUCGGCGGAAACCAUCUGGCUAGAGUCCGGAAGAGGAGAGUGGAAUUCCUGGUGUAGCGGUGAAAUGCGCAGAUAUCGGGAGGAACACCUGUGGCGAAGGCGGCCCCCUGGUUGGAUACUGACGCUGAGACGCGAAAGCGUGGGGAGCAAACAGG
rnacentral:rRNA from 1 species